rnacentral:rRNA from 1 species
AACGAACGCUGGGGGCAUGCCUAACACAUGCAAGUCGAACGAGACCUUCGGGUCUAGUGGCGCACGGGUGCGUAACGCGUGGGAACCUGCCCUUAGGUUCGGAAUAACUCCCCGAAAGGGGUGCUAAUACCGGAUAAUGUCUUCGGACCAAAGAUUUAUCGCCUUUGGAUGGGCCCGCGUUGGAUUAGCUAGUUGGUAGGGUAAAAGCCUACCAAGGCGACGAUCCAUAGCUGGUCUGAGAGGAUGAUCAGCCACACUGGGACUGAGACACGGCCCAGACUCCUACGGGAGGCAGCAGUGGGGAAUAUUGGACAAUGGGCGAAAGCCUGAUCCAGCAAUGCCGCGUGAGUGAUGAAGGCCUUAGGGUUGUAAAGCUCUUUUACCCGGGAUGAUAAUGACAGUACCGGGAGAAUAAGCUCCGGCUAACUCCGUG